UUCAAACAUAUCUAAAGAAGAAGAUAAGAAGGAUCCUGUGUGACAUGUCUUAGAAGAUGGGCCACGGAUAUUGAAAGACCCACAUCUACCCUUGAGACAACAUUGGAAAGAAGAGCUCCCAGAGA
rnacentral:lncRNA from 11 species